GACAGAGGGUGCAAACGUUGUUCGGAAUUACUGGGCGUAAAGCGUGUGUAGGCGGUCUGCUAAGUCGGGUGUGAAAGCCCUGGGCUCAACCCGAGAAGUGCACUCGAAACUGGCGGGCUAGAGUAUCGGAGAGGUUGGUGGAAUUCUCGGUGUAGAGGUGAGAUUCGUAGAUAUCGAGAGGAACACCGGUGGCGAAGGCGGCCAACUGGACGAAUACUGACGCUGAGACUCGAAAGCGUGGGGAGCAAACAGG
rnacentral:rRNA from 1 species